GAACAAGUAAUUUUCUGGUUUUGAUACCGAGUCUCUACACAGUCCAAAGUAAUGAUUCUCAAGCCUCGGGCUCUUACAGGAUGGGAUUACGGUAGUGUGCCGCCACACCAGCCUAUUAUCCCGUGUACUGUCUUCUAGACCAUUGCUUUUCAUAUUCAGUUUUCCAGCCUUUUAUGUGUGUUGUAAUUCUUUGUGAUAAUUUGCCUGUGUGUGUAUGUUUUUUAUUGGUGGUGGGGUUUUUUUUGUUUGUUUUUAACUAGGAAUCCCUUCUUGAGUAAUACCAAGUCUUAGAAGCAAGCAGGGGAAAUAGAAACUGUCUUUAGACUUGGGUCUUUCUUUCCCUUUCAGGUAAAAUUUAGGGUUCUUCUGGGCACCACUCAGAGAUUGUCAGAAAAGCUCUAGAGAGUUCUUAACACUGAACUAAUUUUAGUAACUUUUACCUGGAAGUCCGCAGGCUUAGGGGGAGUAGUGAGGCUCAGUACCCUUCCCAUUGGCUUAUGUGCCCCACCCCCACCCCCAAUCACUGUGGCUGAUGGUACAGCUUUGUCUCACAGCCUUUGGUCCACAGUCUUGUUAAAGACAGGAGCACUGUGAGCACGGAUGUUGGCUAUGACAGACAGAUGCAGCCUGUGAACACGAGAGUAGUGCAGCAAAAAUGAUUUUCACCAACACUCUUACUUUCUCUAACAAAGAUUUCUUAACCCCAUAGAGUUUUGCCUUUAUAUAUUUACAAAUGUAAUGGCUUGUCAAACUUACCAAAUCACCAUAACUGCUUUUUGCAUUCAUUUCCAUAGUGAUGAUGUUGAAUGUGCCUUAUUCAAAUCAAUUGUCUGAUUACUAUACAAUAAAUCUCUUCAAUUUUUCCUGACUGAUUUUUUACUAAAAUUUCCAAAAUAAAGAAUUUA
rnacentral:lncRNA from 1 species